rnacentral:rRNA from 1 species
UACGUAGGGUGCAAGCGUUGUCCGGAAUUAUUGGGCGUAAAGAGCUCGUAGGCGGUUUGUUGCGUCGGCUGUGAAAUCCCGAGGCUCAACCUCGGGUCUGCAGUCGAUACGAGCAAACUAGAGUGUUGCAGGGGAGACUGGAAUUCCUGGUGUAGCGGUGAAAUGCGCAGAUAUCAGGAGGAACACCGGUGGCGAAGGCGGGGUCUCUGGGGCAACAACUGACGCUGGAGGAGCGAAAGCGUGGGGAGCGAACAGG